rnacentral:rRNA from 1 species
UACGUAGGGUGCGAGCGUUGUCCGGAUUUAUUGGGCGUAAAGAGCUCGUAGGCGGUCUGUCGCGUCGGCUGUGAAAACCUGGGGCUUAACUCCGGGCCUGCAGCCGAUACGGGCAGACUAGAGUUCGGCAGGGGAGACUGGAAUUCCUGGUGUAGCGGUGAAAUGCGCAGAUAUCAGGAGGAACACCGGUGGCGAAGGCGGGUCUCUGGGCCGAUACUGACGCUGAGGAGCGAAAGCGUGGGGAGCGAACAGG